rnacentral:rRNA from 1 species
ACGCUCGACACCUACGGGAGGCAGCAGUGGGGAAUAUUGGGCAAUGGGGGCAACCCUGACCCAGCAACGCCGCGUGAAGGAAGAAGGCUUUCGGGUUGUAAACUUCUUUGACAAGGGACGAAAUAAAUGACGGUACCUUGAAAACAAGCCACGGCUAACUACGUGUCAGCAGCCGCGGUAAUCUGAGCGGGCUGGCAAGGC